rnacentral:rRNA from 1 species
UACGUAGGGCGCAAGCGUUGUCCGGAAUCAUUGGGCGUAAAGAGCUCGUAGGCGGCUUGUCGCGUCGACUGUGAAAACCCGCGGCUCAACCGUGUGGUCUGCAGUCGAUACGGGCAGGCUAGAGUUCGGUAGGGGAGACUGGAAUUCCUGGUGUAGCGGUGAAAUGCGCAGAUAUCAGGAGGAACACCGGUGGCGAAGGCGGGUCUCUGGGCCGAUACUGACGCUGAGGAGCGAAAGCGUGGGGAGCGAACAGG